rnacentral:snoRNA from 1 species
AAUCCAUGCUGUGGACAUUCGUGUAGUAGCCUUUUGUACCUUUCCCAUGACUCAUAAUAACAUUCUGAGUCCAAAUGAGCAAAAGUAGUCAUUUUGUCUCUCAACUU